AACCUGGUUGAUCCUGCCAGUAGCGAUAUGCUCGUCUCAAAGUUUAAGCCAUGCAUGUCUCAGUACACGCCCCUGUACGGUGAAACUGCGAACGGCUCAUUACAUCAGUUAUCGUGUCCUCGAUCGUUCCUUACCACAUGGAUACCCGUGGUAAUUCUAGAGCUAAUACAUGCCCAGUCCCGACCGCUUGCCGGAAGGGAUGUAUUUAUUAGAUUUUCAGACCAUGACGGGGCAACCCGUGCGUUNGUGAUUCAUGGUAACUGCUCGGAUCGCACGGCCUGNGGCGACGNCUCGUUCCAAUUUCUGCCCUAUCAACUGACGAUGGUACGUAGUGGCCUACCAUGGUCGUAACGGGUGACGGAGAAUCAGGGUUCGGUUCCGGAGAGGGAGCCCGAGAAAUGGCUACCACUUCCACGGAAGGCAGCAGGCGCACACAUUGCCCAAUCCCGACACGGGGAGGCAGUGACAAGAAAUAACGGUGCGAGCGCUUAGGCCGUCGCAACNGGAAUGAGUACGACCCAAAUCCUCUAACGAGGAUCCAUUGGAGGGCAAGUCUGGUGCCAGCAGCCGAGGUAAUUCCAGCUCCAACAGUGUAUGCUAAUGUUGCUGCAGUUAAAAAGCUCGUAGUUGGAUCGCAGGCGGUCGACGUCGAGGUGCACUACAUGCGCUACCUCGCGUCGUCGCCUUAUCCGCGGAGGCCGCCGGUGCUCUUGAUCGAGCGCCGGCCGGUCUACCCGGGACGUCACCUUGAGGAAACUAGAGUGUUCAAGGCAGGUGUCUCGCCCUGAAUACCGCAGCAUGGAAUGACACUCGGGACUGUGCGACGCGCAAGCUCGGUCCGGUNCNCNCNUUGGUCUGACGGACCGCAGUGACGGUUAAGAGGGACGGUCGGGGGCAUUCGUAUUUCGUCGUGAGAGGUGAAAUUUCUUAGACCGACGAAAGACGACAAGUNNAAGUUGGCCAAGAACGUUUUCAUUAAUCAAGAACGAAAGUUAGAGGAUCGAAGACGAUCAGAUACCGUCGUAGUUCUAACCAUAAACGAUGCCGACCAGGGAUCGGCGGGCCGUGUUCAUCGAGCUCGUCGGCACCUCCCGGGAAACCUGAGUGUUUGGGUUCCGGGGGGAGUAUGGUCGCAAGACUGAAACUUAAAGGAAUUGACGGAAGGGCACCACCAGGAGUGAGCUGCGCUUAAUUUGACUCAACACGGGGAACCUCACCCAGGUCCGGACAUGACGAGGAUUGACAGACUGACCGAUCUUUCUCGAUCUCAUGGUUGGUGGUGCAUGGCCAGUUCUUAGUUGGUGGAGCGAUUUGUCAGGUUAAUUCCGAUAACGAACGAGACCUUAUNCGGAUAGUUGAGCNCNCGAUCCUCGGAUCGUCCGCUAUCUAGAGGCACUGUCGGUGUNCGNAASCGAAGCGAGGAAGGCAAUAACAGGUCUGUGAUGCCCUUCGAUGUUCUGGGCCGNACGCGCGCUACAAUGACGAGGUCACGAGUCCGCCUCCACCGGAAGGUGUCGGGUAAGCUUGCGAAACGUCGUCGUGAUGGGGACAGAGCAUUGAAAUUAUUGCUCUCGAACGAGGAAUUCCUAGUAGGGCGAGNCAUCAGCUCGNGUCGAGGACGUCCCUGCCCUUUGUACACACGCCGUCGCUACUACCGAUUGGAUGGUUUAGUGAGAGCUCGGGUGCCUCCUCGCGGUGGGCCCCGCGGUCGGAACCUGGUCGAACUUGAUCAUUUAGAGGGAGUAAAAGUCGUAACAAGGUUUCCGUAGGUGAACCUGCAGAAGGAUCAA
rnacentral:rRNA from 1 species